UUUGGAGUUUCACCUAUGGAU
rnacentral:piRNA from 1 species